rnacentral:misc_RNA from 1 species
GUGAAUCAUCGAAUUUUUGAACGCAAAUUGCACUCUCUGGUAUUCCGGAGAGUAUGCCUGUUUGAGGGUCAGUUAAAUAAAAAACGGGGUUGUUGCCACCCUUGCUGGGGAAGGCACGGAAUUUGGUCGUCUUUACCUUUCGGUUAGUGGACUUAAAAUUUUUGUGUGUUUUUUCAACGGUAUUAAAUUUAUUUGGUGUGUCUUGUCGU